GCAGUCACAAGGCAUGGUGGGGUGAGCCUGAAGUCCCAGCUAUGCAGAGCUGAGGCAGGAGGAUGGUUUGAGCCCAGGAGUUCUAGGCUGUAGUGCACUAUGCUGGCCCGAACUAAGUUCGACAUUGAUAAUGGUGACCUCUUGGGAGGAGGGACCACCAGGUUGCCUAAGAAGGUUGGGUGAACUGGCCCACGUUGAAAUGGAACAGGUCAAAAACUCCCAUGCUGAUCAGUAGUGAGAUUGUCCCCGUGAAUAGCCACUGCCCUCCAUCCUGGUCAACAUAGAGAGACACUGUCUCU
rnacentral:SRP_RNA from 10 species